rnacentral:rRNA from 1 species
CAGCCAUCAUUUAAAGAAAGCGUAAUAGCUCACUGAUCGAGUCGUCCUGCGCGGAAGAUGUAACGGGGCUAAGCCAGUUACCGAAGCUGCGGAUUUGCAAUUUAUUGCAAGUGGUAGGAGAGCGUUCUGUAAGCCUGUGAAGGUGCCUGGUAACGGGUGCUGGAGGUAUCAGAAGUGCGAAUGCUGACAUGAGUAGCGUUAAAGGGGGUGAAAAGCCCCCUCGCCGUAAGCGCAAGGUUUCCUACGCAACGUUCAUCGGCGUAGGGUGAGUCGGCCCCUAAGGCGAGGCAGAGAUGCGUAGCUGAUGGGAAACAGGUCAAUAUUCCUGUACCGAUGUGUAGUGCGAUGUGGGGACGGAGAAGGUUAGCUCAGCCAACUGUUGGAUAUGUUGGUUCAAGCCUGUAGUCGUGCCUGGUAGGCAAAUCCGCCGGGCUUAGAUGAGGGGUGAUAACGAGUCUGCUUGCAGACGAAGUGAGUGAUACCCUGCUUCCAGGAAAAGCCACUAAGCUUCAGCUACACACGACCGUACCGCAAACCGACACUGGUGCGCGAGAUGAGUAUUCUAAGGCGCUUGAGAGAACUCUGGAGAAGGAACUCGGCAAAUUGAUACCGUAACUUCGGGAGAAGGUAUGCCGCAAGUAGGUGAACUUGUACAAAGGGAGCCCAAAGCGGUUGCAAAAAAUCGGUGGCUGCGACUGUUUAAUAAAAACACAGCACUCUGCAAACACGAAAGUGGACGUAUAGGGUGUGACGCCUGCCCGGUGCUGGAAGAUUAAAUGAUGGGGUGCAAGCUCUUGAUUGAAGUCCCAGUAAACGGCGGCCGUAACUAUAACGGUCCUAAGGUAGCGAAAUUCCUUGUCGGGUAAGUUCCGACCUGCACGAAUGGCGUAACGAUGGCCACACUGUCUCCUCCAGAGACUCAGCGAAGUUGAAAUGUUUGUGAUGAUGCAAUCUCCCCGCGGAAAGACGGAAAGACCCCAUGAACCUUUACUGUAGCUUUGUAUUGGAUUUUGAACGGAUCUGUGUAGGAUAGGUGGGAGGCUUUGAAGUGAGGACGCUAGUUCUCAUGGAGCCGACGUUGAAAUACCACCCUGGUGCGUUUGAGGUUCUAACCCAGGUCCCUUAUCGGGAUCGGGGACAGUGCAUGGUAGGCAGUUUGACUGGGGCGGUCUCCUCCCAAAGCGUAACGGAGGAGUUCGAAGGUACGCUAGUUACGGUCGGACAUCGUGACGAUAGUGCAAUGGCAUAAGCGUGCUUAACUGCGAGACUGACAAGUCGAGCAGAUGCGAAAGCAGGACAUAGUGAUCCGGUGGUUCUGUAUGGAAGGGCCAUCGCUCAACGGAUAAAAGGUACUCCGGGGAUAACAGGCUGAUA